rnacentral:rRNA from 1 species
GACGAACGCUGGCGGCGUGCCUAAUACAUGCAAGUAGAACGCACAGUUUAUACCGUAGCUUGCUACACCAUAGACUGUGAGUUGCGAACGGGUGAGUAACGCGUAGGUAACCUGCCUGGUAGCGGGGGAUAACUAUUGGAAACGAUAGCUAAUACCGCAUAAUAUUGAUUAUUGCAUGAUAAUUGAUUGAAAGAUGCUAUUGCAUCACUACCAGAUGGACCUGCGUUGUAUUAGCUAGUAGGUGAGGUAACGGCUCACCUAGGCGACGAUACAUAGCCGACCUGAGAGGGUGAUCGGCCACACUGGGACUGAGACACGGCCCAGCCUCCUACGGGAGGCAGCAGUAGGGAAUCUUCGGCAAUGGACGAAAGUCUGACCGAGCAACGCCGCGUGAGUGAAGAAGGUUUUCGGAUCGUAAAGCUCUGUUGUAAGAGAAGAACGGGUGUGAGAGUGGAAAGUUCACACUGUGACGGUAUCUUACCAGAAAGGGACGGCUAACUACGUG